rnacentral:rRNA from 1 species
UGGAGGGCAAGUCCAGUGCCAGCAGCCGCGGUAAUUCCAGCUCCAAUAGCGUAUAUUAAAGUUGUUGCAGUUAAAAAGCUCGUAGUUGAAUUUCGGGAUUUGUCAGUUGGUCGGGCUUAACUGUCCGUAUUGACUCGAUGGAUUCUUACCUUCUGAAUAACCAGCAUGCUAUUAAUUUAGUGCGUUGGGGAAGCAGAUCUAUUACCUUGAAAAAAUUAGAGUGCUUAAAGCGAGCUAGUGCUUGAAUAGAUUAGCAUGGAAUAAUAAAAUAGGACGACAUGGUUCUAUUUUGUUGGUUUCUAGGAUCACCGUAAUGAUUAAUAGGGAUAGUUGGGGGCAUUAGUAUUCAAUUGUCAGAGGUGAAAUUCUUGGAUUUAUUGAAGACUAACUUCUGCGAAAGCAUUUGCCAAGGAUGUUUUCAUUAAUCAAGAACGAAAGUUAGGGGAUCGAAGACGAUCAGAUACCGUCGUAGUCUCAACCAUAAACUAUGCCGACUAGGAAUCGGACGAUGUUAAUUUUAUAAUGACUCGUUCGGCACCUUACGGGAAAC